rnacentral:sRNA from 1 species
UAUUCCAUUUGUGCAUGCCGAUGAUUGGU